rnacentral:antisense_RNA from 1 species
GUCAAUGGCAGGCGCUGGCGGGGAGCCCCUUCGUGGGCUGCCGGUUCCGAUAUGCCGGUCUGCUAACCCUGUCAGCUGCCUGCCGUUCCA